UACGUAGGUGGCAAGCGUUGUCCGGAAUUAUUGGGCGUAAAGCGCGCGCAGGUGGUUUCUUAAGUCUGAUGUGAAAGCCCACGGCUCAACCGUGGAGGGUCAUUGGAAACUGGGAGACUUGAGUGCAGAAGAGGAAAGUGGAAUUCCAUGUGUAGCGGUGAAAUGCGCAGAUAUCAGGAGGAACACCCGUGGCGAAAGCGGCUCUCUGGGACGGUACUGACGCUGAGACGCGAAAGCGUGGGGAGCAAACAGG
rnacentral:rRNA from 1 species